AACGAACGCUGGCGGCAUGCCUAACACAUGCAAGUCGAACGAGACCUUCGGGUCUAGUGGCGCACGGGUGCGUAACGCGUGGGAACCUGCCCUUAGGUUCGGAAUAACUCCCCGAAAGGGGUGCUAAUACCGGAUAAUGUCUUCGGACCAAAGCUUUAUCGCCUUUGGAUGGGCCCGCGUUGGAUUAGCUAGUUGGUAGGGUAAAAGCCUACCAAGGCGACGAUCCAUAGCUGGUCUGAGAGGAUGAUCAGCCACACUGGGACUGAGACACGGCCCAGACUCCUACGGGAGGCAGCAGUGGGGAAUAUUGGACAAUGGGCGAAAGCCUGAUCCAGCAAUGCCGCGUGAGUGAUGAAGGCCUUAGGGUUGUAAAGCUCUUUUACCCGGGAUGAUAAUGACAGUACCGUGAGAAUAAGCUCCGGCUAACUCCGUG
rnacentral:rRNA from 1 species